rnacentral:lncRNA from 1 species
GCAUGCAUAUGUUAUCCCAGCUUCUGGGGAGGCUGACUUGGGAGGAUUGCUUGAGCCCAGGAGUUCCAAACUGAAGUGAGCCAUGAUUGUGUCACUGCACUCCAGCUUGGGAAACAGAGGGAGACCAAGACUCAAAAAAAAAAACUGGCCUCAGAAGGAAUUUUAUGGAACCUUGUAUUCUGUUGAAUACCAGAAUUAUAUCAGCAAUCCCAAAGUCACCAAAUGGGCAUCAUCAUGACAGCAGACCGUGAUCAUGGGCUACAUUCUCCGUACCAGCUUCAUAGCUCCAGUGAGAAAAUAAAUUCCUGCAUCCAGGAGAUGUGGAGUAAGAGAUACAGCUGCCCUUGACCAUAUUUCUUACUUCCGAGAAGAUCGUAGCAGUAAUUCAGGUUAUUGGGGAACAGGUGGUUUGGGUUACAUGAAAUCUCAUCCAGGAUACCUCAUCACAGGCUGGAGUGCAGUGUCAUGAGCUUGGCUCACUACAGCCUCCAUCUUCUGUGCUUAAGGAUCCUUCCCUCUCAACCUCCAAGGUAGCUGAGACUACAGGUAUGUGCCACCAUGCUGGACUAAUUUAUUGUUGUUGUUGUUGUUUGUUAGAUUUUUGGUAGAGGCAAGGUUUCACCAUGUUGCCCAGGCCAGAGUCAAACUCCUGGGCUCAAGUGAUAUUUAUUUUGUUAUAGAGAUGGGGUCUUAAUGUGGUGCCCAGGCUAGUCUGGGAUUACAGGUGUGAGCCACUGUGCCUUGCCAAAAACUGCCAUUCUCAUCAUAUCGUACCAAGAGUACAAACUCAACAAGGGUACAAACUGUCAACCAGAGUAGACAUUCAUUAUUGGCAGAAUGUCUACAAAUUCCUUUAAACCUUCACCAUAAACAUGUGCCUACUCUCUUCCAAUUAUUUCAUGUGUAUUAAUUUAUUCAUUUAUACAUGCAUCUUUUAUUUAUAUCAUUAUCUAAAUAUGGAGAUUUAUUUUACAAUGCGUAUGUGCUAUUUUUUUUUUUUUGAGACAGAGCCUUUCUCUGUUGCCCAGGCUGGAGUGCAAUGGUGCGAUCUCAGCUCAUCGCAACCUCUGCCCCCUGGGUUCAAGCGAUUCUAGUGCCUCAGUUUCCUGACUGGCUGGGAUUACAGGCAUGAGACACUACACCUGGCUAAGUUUUGUGUUUUUAGUAGAGACAGGGUUUCACCAUGUUGGCCAGGUUGGUCUUAAACUCCAUACCUCAGAUGAUCCACCCUCCUCGGCCUCCCAAAGUGCUGGGAUUACAGGCAUGAGCCACCAUGCUUGGCCGCUAUUUUUUUUUUUAAUUGCACAAAUUGUUCCAGUGUUGGCUAUUGGAAGGUUUUUAAGUUGUCUCUUGUAUCACUUUGAAAUACCUCCAUAAUUAAAGUUUGAUGUUGUGUGGUUGGUUGGUUUUGUUGUUGUUUGGCAUUUUCUUUUGUUCAGUCACUAUUAUAUGCUCCAGUCUAUGAAUUUAAUUGUGCUCCAGGGUAAUUUGGUAAUUUUAUAAUUUCUACGAAUGUUUCCAACACCAUAUGACCUAAUCCAGCACCAUAUAAAUGGAUCCACUCAUUCUCUCAUUUGUAUGUAAUCUAGCACUCCCUGCAAGCAAGUUGAUGUUGUUAAUUUAAUCAUGCUACCUGAACAAGGUAUAUUGCUAUGUAGAAAAAUACAAGUUGAAACAGUCAAAAUACUGUGUAAUUCCAUUCAUAUGACUCUGUAGAAAAGGAAAAAGUGUAGUGAUAGUAGAGUUCAGUGGUAACAAGGGGCUUGGGAGAGAUAUAGGUGACAUCAGUGAACUACCGAAGAUUUCUUUUGGGCAGUGAAAUUCCUCUUUGAUACUGUAACGGUGGAUACAUCAUAAUGUUUUCCAAAUCCUGAAGAACUUUGUAACACAAAGAGUGUAGCUAAUUUAUGCAAAUUAAAAACCUUAUUUAGGAGGUCACAAGUUUGCCUUUUCACAGUAUUUUACCUUUUCCAACUUAUAUUUUUUAGCAAUAUGCUUUUUAGAUUUUUGAAGUACACCUCAUGGUUUUUAGAUUUGCCUUCACCUAAUUGUUGUAGGACAGGUGAGUCACACAAUUGGGGCUUAUCCUGAGAGGGUUAUUAGCUUUGUCCAGGAAAGAAUUUAAGGGCAAGUGGGUGAUGUUAGACUGCAAUAUUUUAUUGAAUGGUACUGCUCCUAGCAGAGCAGGGCUAACUCUUAAGCAGUGUGUUCAGAGUUGGCAACAUAUAGGCCUCCUGGCAACUGUGUUUAUAUGCAAUCAAACCCACUUUUAAUUAUAUGCAAAUUGAGGGGCAGAUCAAUGCAAAUUGAGGCAGGAAAGGGGCAGUGACUUCUAGGUUGUCUCCAUGGAAAGGGGCAGUAACUUCUGAGCUGUAGCCAUGGAAUUUGUAAACAGUUAUGUGGUUGGUAGGAGUGUCAUAUGAGUGACAAAUGAAGACUGCCAGGGAUCACAUUUACCACAAUGUACACGCUUCUGUCAGUUUUUUCCCUUUAUCCUGUCUGGAGCAGAUCUUAUUUUGGUCAUCAAGGUUGUGAAACCAGAAAACAAGUCCUUCCAGUCUCCUACCUCAUAAUGACAAAAGACAUUGAGCAUAAUUUCAUGUGAUUUUGGAUAUGACUAUGGCUUUCUUUUGAGAGUUGGCUAUUUAAGAUUUUGCCAUUUUUGAUUGGGAUAUUUGCCUUUUUAAUUUUGAGUUGUAAGACAUUGUAUAUUCUGGAUAAUAGACCAUUAUCACCUAUAAAAUUUGCAAUUUUCACAUAUUUUCUGCCAUUCUUUGGGUGCCUCUUUAUAUUUGAUGGUGGACUUUAAAUUGCAAAAGAUUUUAAUUCUAAUGAAGUUUAAUAUUUCUAUAUUUUCUUCUUUCCUUUGUGCUUUUCAGUGUCAUAUCUUAAAACAUUGUUUAACCAGAGACCACAAAGAUGUAUUCCUGUGUUCCUUUUUAUGGGUUGGCCCUGUUUAGCUCUUAUAUUUAGAUGGAUUAUCAUUUUGAGUCAAUUAUGUUUCUGGUAUGAGGCAAGAGUCUAACUUGCAUGUGGAUAUCCACUUGACCCACAAACAUUUGACAAGAAAAUAUUGCUUCAUACCUAAUUUAUUUGGCCACAGUAUAAAAGCAUUUCACCAUAAAUGUAGGGAUUCAUUUUUCAGUAUUAUAUUCUCUACUCCAUUGAUCAAUACAUAUAUCCCUAUACUAGUACCACAAAUCUUGAUUACUAUUACUUUGUAGUAAGUUUUGCAAUCAAGAAGCAUAUGUCUACUAUGCAAACCCUUUUUGUCCUUCUCAAGAGUGUUUUGGCUGCUCAUGAUCUAUAUUAUAUAUAAUUUUAGGAUAAACUUCUGAAUUUAGGGGAAGGUAAUGCCACCUGGUGUUUUGAGAGAAGUUGCAUUAAUUCUAUAGAUCCAUUUGGAAAAUAUUGCCAACCUAACAAUAUGCAUUCUGUAGUUUUUAGUGUACAUAUCUUAUACUUAAUUUGAUAAGGUUAUUCCUAAGUAUUUUUGAUGUGAUCUUAAUUGGAACGAUUUUCUGAGUUUUGUUUUUAGAUUGUUAAUUGCUAGUAUAGAGAAAUUUAAAAUAUUUUAUAUAUUUUAUAUGCUGCAAACUUCUUUGAACUCAUCUUUAAAUUCUAAACAUAUUUGAUAGAGUCCUUUGGACUUUUUAUACAUGAGAUCAUGUCAUUUGCAAACAGUCGGAGUUUGACUUCCUUUCCAUACUAGAAACGUUAUAUUUAUUUUUCUAAAUGAAUUGCCCUGUCUACAUUCUCCAGUACAAUGUUGCGAACAAGUGUCAACAGUGGAAAUAUUUGACUUCUUUCUAAUAUCAGAGAAAUUAGUGAACCUUUCAGAUUACUUAUGAUGAUAUGUGAGCUUUUCAUAGAUGCCCUUUGAAAUGAAGAAAGUUCUCUUAUCUGCCUAAUUUGCUGCAUGUUUUUAUAAUACUGAAUCUGGGAAUUUUCAAGUGCUUGUUGCACACCUUCUGAGACGAUUGUGUAGUUUUUAUUCUUUAUUAAUAUAGUGUAUGACAUUAAUUGUAUCAUAUGUUGAACCAAAUUUGCAUUCCUGAGGUAAAUACCUUUUGCCAUAGUUUAUAAUACUUUCUACAUGUUGCUGAUUUCAUUUGAUAAUAUCUCGCUGCUGAUUUUUGUCUCUGUAUUUAUAAGGCAUAUUGGUCUUCAUUCUCCUUAUUUGAAAUGUCUUUGUGUAGUUGUUCAAUCAGGGUAAACUAAUUCAUAGUAUACAAUGGGAAGUGAUCUAUUUUCUACUUCUUUAUUAUUAUUGUAUUGUUUUGAAAUAUUUUUGAUAAAUUAGUAUUAAUUUUAAGUGAUUUUAAUAACACAUCAAUGAGUUCCUGAUGAGGGCAGGGAGGUGAAUCCUAAGAACAAUCAUGUGAGUUUGGAAGGAGACCCUUCCCCAGCUGAGCCUCAGCCUGAGCCAUCCCCUACAUCUAGACCGAAGACCCAGAGAAACCGUGAGUAGUAUGUGUGUGGUUCUGAGCCACUAAGGUAUGUAGUAAUUUGUUAUGCACCAAGUAGUAAGUAAUAUACCUGACAGUAAUUGUUAGGUGGUAUUCUGGAUUAGGUCCUGGAAUAGAUAAGUAUAUGAUUAUUAGAAAACCUGGUAAAAUAUGAAGGAAGUUUGUAGAUCAGUUAAUAGUCUUGAAAAACAGUUAAAUUCUUAGUUUUCAUGAAUAUGCUAUGGUUACAAUAUAUAUUAACAUUCUAGUUAUCUGAAUGGUAUAUGAAACUGUCUGUACUUACCUAUGUGCAUUUAUGUAAAUCUGCAGUUAUUUCAAAAUAAAUAUGUUUUUUAAUAUUAUUAUUAUUUUUUUAAGAAAAGUAAGCAAGUAAAGACAUCAGCAAAAAACUUUUGCCUCCAGAUACAAGUGGGCAUGUAGGGAGAGAAUAGUAAACUGGCUUUUCUUUUCUUUUCUAGGCAACAUUCGAAACCCAGGUGCCACUCCUUCAGGAAGGUACCAUCAAGCUCCAAGGACUCAUCCUCUUUCUCCUUCCCCACUACCUAGUCAUUAGAGCGUCAGCAUCCACUUCCUGAAAGGAAGAUGCCUGUUUUUCACAUAUCCCAGAAAGCCUCAUUUUAGGACAGCAUUUAGCAGAGUGUAUUCAGGAUCCCACUAACCUUUUCGGAAGACAUGACUUCCAGAUGAUAUAAGGCAAGAAUAAGAAAUUUCAGUGACAGGGAACAGAAAUCAUAUUUCUGCAUUCAGGAUCAUGUUUUCUUGGCUCCAUCAGGAACUGUGCAGGACUGUGCACUCUGUUGAUACUCACAUGGUGGAAUUAUAUUGCCCUUGGCCAACCCUAAAGCCAUCAAGAUAGCAGGUUUGGAAUAAUUCACUGUCGAAGUCUUCUUGAGCUGAGCAGUCAUGUGAGCUUGGAAGAUGAUCCCUCUCCAGCUGAUCCUUCAGCUCAGGCCAUCAUCUACAUCUGGAUUCCUGACCCGGAGAAACUAUGAGUAAUGUGUGCUGCUUUUGAGCCACUAAGCUACAUGAAUUAAUGAAGGAUCAUUAUUAAGUUUUUAAUGGGUCAAGAGAAAGUUACCACUGAGGUCUUCUCUACCUGGGCAACAAUUGACUCCUAACAACCACUAUAAGCUUGGAAGAUGAUCCCUCCCCAGCUGAUCCUUCAGGCUGGACCUUUGACACUUGUCUGACACAGUCUAUAUGUGAAUAGAUGGCUGAGUGUCCUGGCUAGUGAAGAUGGCAUUCCUCGCCCUAAGUUGAACAGUGUUUUCCUCACCUGAAACCACGAAGACACAACAGCAAGAAGAGGGUAUACAUAAUUCAGGACUCCACAGCAGAUGAGAAUUUGCCCACAGUGUGGAGGGCCCUAAUGCCAACAGGACAGUGUUGAGAAGCACAUAUUUUCUUUUGAAUGAAGCAUUUCUACAGAGGGGGGUCUCUGAGACUCAAGAGCAUAUAUAUGCUAUACAAAUAAUAAAAUCUUCAAUCAAAUAGCCUAAAAAUUCUACUCAAGUGGCUGCAUUUGUUCAUGAUUUAUGAGAUGUUAGAAACCAAUAGAGCAAGACAACUGAUAGUUUAUGGAUGUUUUUACUCCAAAUUAACAGAGUAGCUUUUGUUUUGCCAGCUACAGCUGUAAUGAGGAGUUCUGUGAUUUAACACUGUAUCAAGAUAAUUUCAAGGCCAGAUCUUGGUCAAGAACACAUGUUUUGCCUAUACAUUGUGAUUGCAUUAGAACCAGGCACCAUUAACCAAAAUUUUACCGAAUAUGAAGAGCAAUAUACUCCAUGCAAAUAAAACAGCCUGUGGAAUGUACAUAGUGAAGGACAGAAGCAAGAUGAUUCUUGAAUUAAAGCAAACUGGAUGUUUACCAGGGAAGCAAACAGAGUAGAUAUACAUUAACAUUAUCUUCUUCUUUUGAUAAUGAUUGUGUUCUUCUCGUAUAAAUAAAAAGCUCUACUUGCAUUAUUUCAUAUUAUAUUCAGUUUAUUGGCCACAUAUAACAAAAUAACAUAGAAAACCCAGGAGAGGGUCAUAUGAGGUGGUUCAGUCUAUAUAUACAUGUCAUUUCUGACAACUCUAAUGAAUGACCACUCAUCCUUGGGCUUGUUGCAAGACAGCCAUGCUAUGUAAAAGCAUCUGUCUUUUUGCAGACAGGAAUAAGAUGAAGGAUUCAAGGUCAAGUUUACUCAAAUAGGUUCUCCUGGGGUCUUUGCCUUUUGUUUCUGGAGUAUUUCCGAAGUUCUGUAAACUAUGUGUUGGUGGAGUAAUUGCAACCCCACCUGUAUGAGAGCUGGCAUGAUUACUCUCUCUCAAUUUUACCACUGAAUGUGGAGAAUGGCUUGAUAUACUCUUGGCUGUAUGCUUCCAGAUGACAGUAUUAAGGUGAAUAUGAAACAUUAUGAAUGGAACCCACAGAGAAAGAUAAAUCAAUAAACUCACAUUUGUAACCCUAAAGGUAAAGUUAGAAUCAAUCUAUGCACAGUGCCUGUAGGAGUCUUGAUGGAGGACGUCUCUACAUAUCAUUGAAUCAAAAAUUUAGAUGUAUCUAAAGGAAAAGAAGAUAUCACUGUCAAUUAGACUAUUACACAUAAUAGCUUCAUUUUAUACUUACUGAAAAACCCUCCUAGAAUUAUAAAGGCAUGAUUUUUAUUCACAUAAAGAUGAAAGCAACAUUGAAAAUAUCCCUAAAUGAAUUCACAAAUAUCUUGACAUUCUGAUUCUAGUUGUUAAUUAGAUUUUGACACAGAGAUAUGAAUAUCUUAAGACAUUACCUUCUGAGGCGAGAAGACUCAUGGCAAUAAAACAUUUCUUCAUUAAAAAGGCUGCGACCAUGCAUGUUCAUUGCAGCACUAUUUACAAUAGCGAAGACAAGGAAUCAAUCUAAAUGCCCAUCAAUAAUAGACUGGAUGAAGAAAAUGUGGUACAUAUACACCAUAGAAUACUAUACAGUCAUAACAAACAAUGAGAUCAUGUCUUUUUCGGGAACAUGGAUGGAGCUGGAGGCCAUUAUCCUUCGCAAAAUAAUGCAGGAACAGAAAAACAAAUACCGCAUGUUCUCACUUAUGAGUAGGAGCUAAGUGAUGAGAACACAUGGACAUAUAGAGGAGAACAACACACACUGAGGCCUAUGGGAGGGUGGAAGGUAGGAGGAGGGAGAGGAUCAGAAAAAAUAUCUAAUAGGUACUAGGCUGAAUACCUGGGUGAUGAAAUAAUCUGUACAAAAAAUAUUCACGACCACAAGUUUACCUAUGUAACUAUCCUGCACUUGUACCCCUGAACUUAAAAUAAAAGUUUUUUAAAAGGC